rnacentral:tRNA from 1 species
AGGGUGGUAUUCAAAUAUGAUAACAAAUUUGCAUUUUGUAGGUGCCUCUGGCCCACCUUA